rnacentral:rRNA from 1 species
GACGAACGCUGGCGGCGUGCUUAACACAUGCAAGUCGAACGGAAGGGCCCUGCUUUUGUGGGGUGCUCGAGUGGCGAACGGGUGAGUAACACGUGGGUAACCUGCCCUUGACUUUGGGAUAACUUCAGGAAACUGGGGCUAAUACCGGAUAGGAGCUCCUGCUGCAUGGUGGGGGUUGGAAAGUUUCGGCGGUUGGGGAUGGACUCGCGGCUUAUCAGCUUGUUGGUGGGGUAGUGGCUUACCAAGGCUUUGACGGGUAGCCGGCCUGAGAGGGUGACCGGCCACAUUGGGACUGAGAUACGGCCCAGACUCCUACGGGAGGCAGCAGUGGGGAAUAUUGCACAAUGGGCGGAAGCCUGAUGCAGCAACGCCGCGUGCGGGAUGACGGCCUUCGGGUUGUAAACCGCUUUCGCCUGUGACGAAGCGUGAGUGACGGUAAUGGGUAAAGAAGCACCGGCUAACUACGUG